rnacentral:rRNA from 1 species
UACGGAGGGAGCUAGCGUUGUUCGGAAUUACUGGGCGUAAAGCGCGCGUAGGCGGCUUUGUAAGUCAGAGGUGAAAUCCCGGAGCUCAACUCCGGAACUGCCUUUGAUACUGGCAAUCUUGAGUCCGGAAGAGGUGAGUGGAACUCCUAGUGUAGAGGUGGAAUUCGUAGAUAUUAGGAAGAACACCAGUGGCGAAGGCGGCUCACUGGUCCGGUACUGACGCUGAGGUGCGAAAGCGUGGGGAGCAAACAGG